rnacentral:rRNA from 1 species
ACCAAGGGCGAUAGAACGUUGAAUACACCAGUUCCCCACGGAUCACUGAAGUUAAGCAACGUUGCGCGUGGUUAGUACCUGGAUGGGUGACCAUCUGGCCCAGUCAGCACACACGAUUGGAU